ACUUUUAUGGUGUAUAGCACAAGAAAUUUUCAAUUUCUAGGAAUAAAAUAUAUUAUUUUUAUUAAAAGUU
rnacentral:tRNA from 1 species